CUACGGGCGGCUGCAGUGGGGAAUAUUGCACAAUGGGCGAAAGCCUGAUGCAGCAACACCGCGUGAGGGACGACGGCCUUCGGGUUGUAAACCUCUUUUAGCAGGGAAGAAGCGAAAGUGACGGUACCUGCAGAAAAGGCACCGGCUAACUACGCGCCAGCAGCCGCGGUAAUACGUAGGGUGCAAGCGUUGUCCGGAAUUAUUGGGCGUAAAGAGCUCGUAGGCGGUUUGUCGCGUCUGCUGUGAAAAUCCGGGGCUCAACCUCGGACCUGCAGUGGGUACGGGCAAACUAGAGUGCGGUAGGGGAGAUUGGAAUUCCUGGUGUAGCGGUGGAAUGCGCAGAUAUCAGGAGGAACACCAAUGGCGAAGGCAGAUCUCUGGGCCGUAACUGACGCUGAGGAGCGAAAGCGUGGGGAGCGAACAGGAUUAGAUACCCGAGUAGUC
rnacentral:rRNA from 1 species